GCCAUUCACCACCACAACCACCGCAACUGCCGCCGCCACACAACCACCACCACAACCAUCCGGAAGGAGACAGAGGAGGUUCAAUGGUCGCCGGAGAGGAUGACCGGAGACGGAGAUAGAUCUGAUUAAUUUAUCAACAGCGUGCACAUCCCCACCAUGCUACAUCCAUCAAACAAACAAACAAACAAGUGAGAUGUCAGAUCUGAUCUGAUUAAUUUACAAAUCUGACAUCAAAUCUCCGGCAACCUCAUCCCACUCCGACCAUUUCGAAGGCGGUUCACUCUGAUUGCUUGACGGAAGACCAAAAAAGGUAAAGAUUCAUGGGUGUUGAUUGAAGGGUGGUGUAGGGGUGGUAGUGAUCGUGGUGGUUUGGCUGUAUGUAUGUGGAUGAUUGGGGGCUGGGGUGUGGAGAU
rnacentral:lncRNA from 1 species